rnacentral:pre_miRNA from 1 species
AAAAAAGAUAAACACUGGUUUCCGUAUCUAAUAUUUGACAGUCCGUCUUAUUUGAAAAAAUUAUGAAAAAAAUUAAAAAGAUAAGUCAUGCAUAAAGUAUUAAUUAUGUUGUAUCAUCUAACAACAAUGAAAAUACUAAUUAUAAAAAAAAUUUAUAUAAGACGGACAGUCAAACGUUGGCACGGAAACCCAGGGUUUAUCUUUUU